UACGUAGGGGGCUAGCGUUGUCCGGAAUCAUUGGGCGUAAAGCGCGUGUAGGCGGUCCGGUAAGUCCGCUGUGAAAGUCGGGGGCUCAACCCUCGGAUGCCGGUGGAUACUGUCGGGCUUGAGUACGGAAGAGGCGAGUGGAAUUCCUGGUGUAGCGGUAAAAUGCGCAGAUAUCAGGAGGAACACCAAUUGCGAAGGCAGCUCGCUGGGACGUUACUGACGCUGAGACGCGAAAGCGUGGGGAGCAAACAGG
rnacentral:rRNA from 1 species